ACUUAAACCCCGCUGCAGGAUGCUCGGGAAGGCGGUGCAAUUCCGCCACUGCCCCGCAACUGUGAGCGACGGCAAGAGGCCUGAAUAAGAAGCCACUACUCUGCCAGAAAAGGGUGGGAAGGCGCAGGCCUCCUGGAUGCAGCAGCAUCCCGUCGCAAGUCAGGAUACCGGUCCCGCGGCCCAUCACGUU
rnacentral:ncRNA from 2 species